AGCCUGACAACCGCGAGCCACUGCACCCAUCCACUCGUACGCCGCGGUGCGCCGCAGCCCGCAGCCCGCAGCCCGCAGCCCGCAGCCCGCGACUCCAGGCAUCCACAAAAAACCAUCUCCCCCGCGGCCCCGGCACCGCACGCUCCCGACCCGGCGAGUCCCACUCCCACCUAAGCUGAGCGGCCAUGGCGCGGCACCUCGCGCCUUCGUCUGGAAGCCUCCACCGUCUCCUCGCGUCCUGCCACUACCCGCCCACCUCCCAGGCGCCGCCUCCCCGUCCGCUCCUCCUCCCGAAGACCCGAUCGGCGGCUAUGCAGCUCCCGCGACGCGGGCGGCGCGACGUCGUCGCCGCUGCAGCUGCCUCCGCACCGUCCCCCUCUUCUCCGGGUACCGAGGUGGCAGUCUGGGGUAAGGUCUCCGCCGUGCUCUUCGAUAUGGAUGGCGUUCUCUGCAACAGCGAGGAGCCCUCGCGACAGGCCGGCGUCGACGUCUUCGCUGAGAUGGGAGUCGAGGUCGCCGUGGAUGACUUUGUCCCCUUCAUGGGCACUGGUGAGGCCAAUUUCCUUGGAGGUGUCGCAAGAGCUAAAGGAGUGAAAGAUUUCAAUCCUGAAAGUGCCAAGAAGAGAUUUUUUGAGAUAUAUCUUGACAAGUACGCAAAGCCAAAUUCUGGCAUCGGAUUCCCUGGGGCUCUGGAGCUCAUCUUGGAGUGCAAAAAUUCUGGUCUUAAGGUUGCCGUUGCAUCCAGUGCCGACAGGAUUAAGGUGGAUGCCAAUCUGGCUGCUGCUGGUUUGUCCGUGUUUCUAUUUGAUGCUAUUGUUUCUGCUGAUGCGUUUGAAAAAUUGAAGCCCGCUCCGGAUAUAUUCCUGGCAGCAUCAAAGAGCUUAGGUGUCGACACAAAUGAGUGCAUUGUGAUAGAAGACGCGCUUGCUGGUGUUCAAGCUGCUAAUGCUGCAGAAAUGAGAUGUAUCGCUGUGACAACUACUCUAGAGGAAAUAGCGUUACGACAAGGCAGUCCCUCGUUCAUACGAAAGAAUAUUGGAGACAUUUCAAUUAACGACAUUUUGUAUGGUGGUUCUAAUGCUCGCCACAAUGAAGGGGCAGGAAGUACUGAGAAUAGUAGUUCGGUAGGGAAUGCUUUGUCUGAGAGUCUAAACGGAGCAACUGCUGCUGGACAUUCUGACACAAAAGGUUUUCCAAUCUCAAAAAAUAAAGGGCUGUUGGGUUCUCGACGCGAAAUAUUGAGAUAUGGAAGUCUGGGAAUAGCCUUGUCCUGCCUUUUUGUUGCAGUCAGAAAUUGGAAGGCAAUGCAGUUCGCAUCUCCCAAAGGCCUACUGAAUUUUCUCAUGGGUGGAAAUAGUUCAGUUUUUGCCAGAAAUGAAGGUACACAGUGCACCUAGGCAUCACCAUCCUGUCUUGCACCUCUUGCACCAAUGGUACCUGGCCACCCACUUCGGGCUGCCACUUUUUAAACACAGCACAAUGCUGUUGGGUAAUUGGAAAUUCCAUCAGGCAUAAUGCAUGUUGAUGGUGCCAUUGUUGGCUUUAGGCUGGGCCUGCAAAGUAACCGUAGUGACAAAUUCUUUUUAGCAUGCCUAGAGAGAUUGAAACCUAGCUAGGAAACAUUUGGAUCUGAAGCUAUUUUGAAGAUUGGUCUCCAGUUGUUAUGUGUGUCUUGCAGGAGAAUCUCUGUCAUCAAGAGUUCAACAAAUAAAGAAGUAUCUAGCUGAGUUUGAAUCUGGGGGUUCUGCCACAUAUGUUCCUGAGUUUCCAAGAAAGCUUGACUGGUUGAAUACAGCCCCACUUCAGUUUGGAAGAGUAAUUUAGAACUCAUCUUAGGUUAUUAUCGUAGCUGCAACUUUGCUACAGUAUUAAUUGCAUGCCCUUUGUUCUGGAUUUAAACUAGAAGAUCUUGCAUGCAUCUCUAUCACCCUAUUCUAUGGGGCAGCCAGAUUGUAAUUAACAUGAUCCAAAAGUUUCAGUCUUCUAGCAUCUGCAAAGAAAUUUCAGUUACUGUU